rnacentral:rRNA from 1 species
AGCGAACGCUGGCGGCAGGCUUAACACAUGCAAGUCGAGCGGGCAUCCUUGUGGUGUCAGCGGCAGACGGGUGAGUAACGCGUGGGAACGUGCCCUUCGGUUCGGAAUAACUCAGGGAAACUUGAGCUAAUACCGGAUACGUGCGAGAGCAGAAAGGUUUAUCUGCCGAAGGAUCGGCCCGCGUCUGAUUAGCUAGUUGGUGAGGUUACGGCUCACCAAGGCGACGAUCAGUAGCUGGUCUGAGAGGAUGAUCAGCCACACUGGGACUGAGACACGGCCCAGACUCCUACGGGAGGCAGCAGUGGGGAAUAUUGGACAAUGGGGACAACCCUGAUCCAGCCAUGCCGCGUGAGUGAUGACGGCCUUAGGGUUGUAAAGCUCUUUUCUCCGGGACGAUAAUGACGGUACCGGAGGAAUAAGCCCCGGCUAACUUCGUG